rnacentral:lncRNA from 1 species
CCCGAGUAAAUUAGUUAAGAAAAAAAAAACAACUAAGAAAAGGGGAGGUUUAAAAAAUACAAAAACACUAAUUACUUCACCUCUAGGAAAAAGGAAAAUGUUACUUUAUUCUAUGUUUUUUAUUCUAAAGCAUAAUAAUUAUAGAGGAAAUCCAUCCAUCUUUCAUAUUUUUUUAAUCGCAAUCCCUGUACAAAACCAUGAAGUCAAAUAACUCUCCCCAUUCUCCCAAUUUUUGUAUACCAAAUUAAAAACAUUUUAACUUAGAAAAAAAAAAAAGAUAACAACUUUAUGAUCGGAGACAUGAUGAAGUGCGAAACUACAACCCUAAAAAGAUGCGAUUUUUCCACUUGAUUUCGUUUCCUUCUUUCAAUUAAUAGCUAUGUUCUUCUUCAUUGGAGUAAUCUAGGGUUCCAAGUCGAUCAAUUUGGGAAUUUCGCCAAUUACGCUCACAAAUAUGCGAUUUUUUGAAGCGAUUUUGCGAUUCUCCGACUCGAUUCAGAACAGAGAGGGGAAAAGGGAUUACGCACAGCGGAAUCGCUCGGCCCACGAACUCGUGCGCCGCGCCCUGUCGCCUCCGCCGCGUCCCGUGUUCUAUACUUCUAUAGAGAGCACGAAGAGCGCAGCUGCGCAGCAAAAAAUUCGGUGUACGGUGGACCCGGUCUUUUACGACCUAAUUGUGUGGAGAACCCCGAACUAUUGUAUUUUCUAAAGCAUGUCCCCGCUUUUUUUGUUUUUGUUUUAAUUGAAUCGUGUUCCUAGUUAAUUAGAUUGGAGAUUCAGUUAGAUUGAUCAGUUGAUUCUAUCAGAUUUAAUAAUAUUAGUUACUUUUUAAAUGAAUGAAUGAAACUGCAGCAAUUUAUUAUUGGUAAAAACUUGUAAAUUUAACUAACUAAAGCAAUGUUUCGAGCAGUAAAGUGUAGGGGCAUUUUUAAAAGUUUUAGUUUUUAAAAUAAACUUAGCAGUUUCGUUACGCAAACCCAGAACGCGUGGCCUACUGGAUAAGGCCCUGGCCUCCGAAGCGGGAGAUUGUGGGAUCGUGUCCCAUCGCGAUCGUUUUCGUGCUUAAGUACAUGAAUUUUGGUGCAUUAUUAUUUUUUUUAAAAAAAAUGCCUAUACUUUGUCUAUAAAAGAAAAAAAAAAUCUUUAUUUUUUUACUCAUUAUCCCGUGAAUAAGAUAAAUCAUUCACACAUCUUACAAUGGAAUACAUUAUUCUGAUAAAUGAUAAAUUCGCAUCACACUUGUUAACAAAAAAAAAACCCUUAUCGAGUAUAAUCACAAAUUUUAUUUUUUAUGAUGCAUAAUUUUCUACUGAAUAAUUUGUUCUGAUGUAUUUAAGUAGUAAUUAAUAAAGCAAUAACAUGUAUCCUACGAAAGGCCGCUGUGUAAACACAACAAACAUUUUUGGCAUUUUCAAAUCGUGCACGAAUAUGUUAAAGAAUAUUAACAACAACUGUCAUUUUUUAAACAACUUAAGCAGAUAUCAGUUUUUAUAUCCAACGGCUAGCUAGACGGCCUCGGGAGAGGACAGCGCCAUUGUGUAUCAGCGGAGAUGGAAAUAGGCGGAGAGAGCAUGAGAGGGAUAGGUUGAUGGAAGCCGUAGGACAGGAGCCGCCCGCUACGCGGCUAUCGCUGGGGGAUGUCGACCUUGCAAGCUCACGCCGUGGCGGAAAAGCCAUUUGUGGGCACCUUUGGAUCAAUUUGGGGGGGGGGGGGGGGUGAGGGGGGGGGGGGGGGGAAGAAGCUUAGAGAGAGGAGACAGAGAAGAGAUGUUGAGAUGUGGAUGUGGUAUCAACUUUUGGGGGGGGGGGGGGGGGGGAAGGAACUUAGAGGAGGAGAGUAGAGAGAGAGAGUUUGUUGAGAUGUGCUGAGGUGUGGGUUUUAUGUUACGAUGCCAUGCAUGGAAACGUAGUAAACAUUAAAAUUACUUAGAAUAAUAAUCUAAACCUUAUAUUUUAUUUUAUUUUAGAUCUUGUUUACAUAAUCGGUAUCUAGGAUUAAUUACCUGUUCCCGCCAACAACAAAAUACAAAGUAAAAAAAAAAAAGGUGGUGUUGGUGGUCCAUGUGAAAUGGUGCAUGCUAAUGCCUAUUUUGGGGAUUCCAAUAGGAGAGAUGCGUGAAUGUGUGCGUCGGUGGCAUUUGGGUUCCAGUACGGUAAGGAAAUUUAAUUCUCAAUUAUAGGAUGACCAACGGAUACGGUUGAGUGGGAGCAUCGCCGCCGAUCCGCCCAGACUGGAAAAGUAAAUAUAGGAAAAAAUAAAUGGAUUUCGAGCAGGAAACGAUACAAUUUUACGAUCGAGACGGAUUCGGGCAGGACAGACAGAGAAAUUUUGACCCGCGACCGAAUCCGCCCUGAAUCCACCCCGCCCGAAUUUGCCCACGAAAAUUAUUAUAUUUAAAACAAAUAUUUCUAAAAAAAUUAUGUGUUUACAAAAAAAUUUAAAAUACACACAAGUUAGUACUCUCAUUUCUAAUGUAUUUGAAACUUUUGAAUUUUAUUUUGAAUUUUUGAUUGCUUUUUUUUUUAUUUUUAUAAUUGAUAUUGUUAAAUUAUUAUAUAAUAUUAUUAAAAAUUAUUAUUUUAUAUUUUACAAAAUAUUAAUAAUAUUAUAAAUUAUAUAAAAAAAUAUUAGUUGGCUGGCGGAUUCGAGGGCGCCUGGCGGGAGGCGAGUUACAAGGUGGGGCGGAUUAUGGGAUUUAUAUUUUAAUCGUGUCACGGAAUCGGGGAGGAGACGGGAAGAAUUUUGCUAGUCGAGGCGGGAGCGGGGCGAGGAUCCCGCCCUCAGAUCCGCCCCGUUUGGCAUCCCUAAUCUCAUAUAAUCUUUGCACAUCUAUAAUCUACAAACUAUAUGAAGCCAAUUUUUUUGCCACGUGGCAUAUCAUCUUUCAUUCUUCAUAACCGACUUUAAAUCAAACUACCUUUUCUCUUCUCAACGCCCAACCCUUCACCUCCCCACUCCUCUAAUUACAUUACAAUGUUGCAAUAUUUAAUUACAUGCACAUACUAAUAUUCUAUCAAUAAGUUGCUUUAUAACUUUAAUCCACUCUUAUUCUCUAUUAAUCUUCACCCCCUCUUUUUUGUAACUCUUUUGCAUCCACCAUAAAAAACUUUUUGUCAGCGUACAUGUUAACCUUCAUUCUCAUAGCCACAACUUUAAAUCAAACCACCUUCUCCUCUUCUCAACGCCAACCCUUCACCUCCCCACUCUUCUAAUUACAUGUAAGGUGCAAUAUUUAAUUAUUAUGCACAAUAUUAAUAUUUCUAUCAAUGAGUGAACUCUAGCUAUAAUUUUAUUUUUUAACAAUUGAUUUAGUCAUCACAAUUAACUAUGCUUAAUAUGGUAUAGCUCUUCUAUUAUUAAUUAAAUUGUAAAUAUAAAUUUAUUAAAAUUUUUAAAUUUUACUUCUAUUAUCUAUCCGCUGUAUCGCACGGGUCUCUACACUAGUACAUUAUUAUUUCUCAUAAGCUUUACCACGUGUAGCACCAUAAUCUCUCUCUUCUUAAAAUUCUUUUCUGUAACGUUUGCCUCUUCGGCUUCCCGUUCCAUUAAUUUCUUCCAUAACAUAUGCCUCUUUGCUUCCGUUCAUAUUAAUUCCUUCUUUAUAACAUCCCAACCCUCCUCCUUCUGACCACUUAAAUUUUGUAAUGUAUAGUUAUGUAAAGGGUGUGUAUCCUUCCUCUAAUGGUCUCGAAGGACGAGAAGUAUCGGCUAAGAUAUGGGCUUGCCGAAAAGGAUUGAGGCAUUUUGGUAAUUCACGAAAUUGUCGGUGUUAGUAGAGAAUGCCCUUAAAUGAGGAUACAAAGGGUGUCGAUUUUUCUGUAACAAAUUUUUUUCUCCUAUAAUUUUUUCAUCUUUCGUUAUUUUUUAUUAAUUAUAAUUUUAUUUUUAAUUUUUAAAUAUUUUUUAUAUUAUUAAAUUUAUUAAGUAUGAUUAUACGCCCAUCACGCUGAUUCCUACAUAGUAUUAUUUAUACUAUUAUGAAUGGGAGAACCCAGAACUUGCCGUUGUUUGUGCGGAGGGGUUCAGUGGGACCACUUUUUUUUUUUUUUUUUUUUGCCCUUUCCUCACUCUGCUCUCUCUCACUUUUUUUUCCUACUCUUUCUCACUCUCUCUCUCUCACACCCUGCAUCUUUUUUUAUUUUUUCUCUCAAUAUUUUUUUUAUUUUAUCUACAUCAAGUGUAAAAUUUUAUUGCAUAGAUCCAUCCCAUUUUUAAUGUCAAUAUAACAAAAUUAAAAUUUCAUCAAUUAGAUAAUAUUUAUAAUUAAUAAAAAAUUUAUAUAUAAAAAUAAUAGAUUUUACCUUAUAUAAUAAAAUUUUAUAAAUACGGUGUAAAAAAAGUUAUAAACGAGUGCAUUAAGGCAUGCUCAUAUAUUGUGUAAGAUAAAUUUUAACUUUAACCAGAUAAAACUAUCUAAUAUCAGGUUUAGUUUGGUAUUGAGGUCUAAUCUAAUUUAUUAGAUAAAAUAGAGUUUGGAUAAAAGCAUAUAGGAAUAUACUUCUACGUCCUCGGCUGGACUGCAAAAAAUAUUAUAGUAACGGACUAUCGCGAUAUGCAGAACUGAAUAUUCUAUACGGAAACAAAAGUAUUUUUCCAUCGUAUUUUCUUACCGCACAUAACGCAUUUCCCACAAUCCAAACAAAGUCUAAGUACUUGAACUUUAGUUUUUUAGUUAAAAAUUUUACUUAUAUCUUUUUUUUUGUUUUUGCUAUUUUUAAUAGUCGAUUAUAACAAAUUAAAAAUUUCACCUAAUAAAUAUAAGGAAAUCUAUAAAUCAAUAAAAUAUAAAAAUUAUAUGAUUUUUAUCUUUAUUAUAUAUAUAUAUAUAAUAUAAUAUAUAUAUGGUCCGCUACUUAUACUAUGAUGAGUACGAUUGCCCUCGUAUUCAUAAGUUGUUUUCGAUGAUAGAGCUUCCAAAUCGGCGAUCCACACCGUUAAACGUUAUUUACAGCAUCUUAAAACUUCUAGAAAUCAAAUUUAUAAUUUUUCGACAUCAUUUACCUUACGAUCAGAGGUCACAAAUUGACAAUUUUUACGACCGGUAUGGAAUACUUGAGUUUAACGGUAUAAAAGAAUCGGAAUUUGUUGAAUUUUUGAUAGAAAUUCUAUUCACUACAUAGAUAAAGAUCAAUAACUCCGAUCUUUGAAUUGAAGGAUCCCGAUCAUCCUUUUUUUAGGACGUCGUUCGAUUUUGACCGUUCAUUUUAUGCCCACUUGAUGGACUUUGUUAUGGAUUUCGAAAAUUUACGAAAUUUAUUUUCUAGAAGUUUCAAGUACUCUAAUCAUAUUUAACGGAAUGGAUCGUCGAUUCCAGAAGCUCAUCAUGAAAACAACUUAUGAGUACGAGCCUCCAAUACUAUAAUAUAUAGUAGCCAUGGCCUCUCUCUCUCUCUCUCUCUCAUCUCUCUCUCUCUCUCUAUAUAUAUAUAUAAUUUAUAUUUUAUUAUUUAUUUAUUUUUAUCUAUACAACUUAUGAAAGGCGACCCUAACGGAGCCUCCCCGCAUUCGGUGGGGGUCCUACGGACUUUUCGCUCCUUCCGCCUACCCGUUACGUGGCUGCGCCCCCCCCUCCCCCCCCCCCCCCGUGAUCUCCUUUCUUCUCUUUGUCUUUGCCGGGGUGGUCCGCUCUGAUUUUUCGUUCUCUCCGCCAUCGCUGCGGUGGUCGCUGUCCUCCUCAGGAACGUAGCGCCUUUCCGUACGGCACGACGUCCCCCCUUGUCAUUACACUAAUUGGGAACCAAAGAAGGUUCUCCCUUAUUUGUGGGAGGUUGUAGGGCCCACAUAUUUUUUUAAAGGAUUAAUUGCACAUUGGUCCAGAUCUUUUCACUAUUUUUUAUUUUGAUCUCUAUUUUUUUUUUUGCCCCAACUUUUCACUAUUUUUUUUUUGAUCCCUAAUCUUUUUUAAUAGCACUGUUAAAAGAGGUGUUUAAAUUAACAAAAUUGUCAUGUAAGCACUUAGUUGCUUUCUUUUUUUAUUUGUAAAUUCUACCUCGAUGAUAAUAGAAAAAUAUUAUCAUCUCUUUUUAAUACUGUGAUGAGUUUUUAUUUUAUUUUAAAUAAUUUAUUCAUUUUACUUAUUAGGUUUAAUAUUUUUAGAAAGAAAUAUCUUUAAUUUUUAAUUAUUCGAUACUGAGAUAAAUGAUAUUGAAAAAUAUAAUGCAUAAUAAGAAAAAAAAUGUUGUUAUAAUUAUACUAAUUUACUAUUGCAUUGUCUUCCACCGCAUCGCGCGGGGCUCAAAAAUUUAGUGCUUGAUUUAUAAGAAAUUGAUGAUCAUAAUUCUAUUUCAAAUUAAUAUUUAAUCUAAUAAAUAGUUAGUGACUUAAUACUCAACUGACAAUUCAGAUCAUUCCAUGCCUGUUAGCGCGAGUUUUCAUUAUUAAGGCAUAAAUUAAGGAACAACAAACUUCAUCACACUAUAAAAAAAGAAGUAAAGCAUACAACAGUCUUAAUUAUUGCAAUAUUUGUGCAAACAAUACACAUUGUUUGCUUAUUUGAUCAAGCAUCAACUAGUAAGCAAACACACAGUUCAUCUUUAAUAGAUGUUUAAUUUAGUUGUUACCCCGAAUUGCGCUUUGGAGCCAAUCCACAGUAUUCUUAUCCAGCUGAAACGCCUUGGCAAGAACCUAUCCGAAAUCAGGCGGUUCGCCCGAAAAACUGCAUUGGCUUAUAGUGAUCACACCGGGGUUUGGCUGCUGCUCAGACCGGGAUCACAACGCGCUGCUCGCUGCCGGAUUAAAUUGGAAGUGGAUAAGUCCUUGGGGGAAUUACGAACACGUCUCCCGUGUUAAGCACCUUCGCGAAAAGCUUGUUGUCAGGUUAGAGGUGACGAAUCCGACGCAAGAGAGUGCCCUCAAGGACGGUGUAGGAUCUCGGUGUGGCGCGUUCUCGGUGUGGGUGUGGGGAGGGUUUAGACCAUUGUGGGGCGAAGUCAAUGCGAGCUAUUGGAGAUGCGAGGGUGUUGGGCGGGGAGCUCGCCACACUGACUAGAGUCCACGUUGGAGCCAACCUUGUUCAUGGUUUUUCCAGGCUUGUCGAGACCAGGAAAGAGAAAUCUCAGGUGGCGAGGUUUGGGUCCUUGCACACGAACCCAUUUACGAAUAACUGCACGAAAUAGGAAAGCAGUUCAGCAAUGGGAAAUUUGGUUUGGGGAUAAAUGUAGAUGAAAUGAAAUUUUUUUUAUUCUCUUGUUACUGUAGGGAUCAUUCAUAAAAAAACUAAAAAUAUUUCCCCACAUCUGAUGCAUCCAUACAUACAUAGAUACCAUACUUUUAUUCAUAGUCCAAUCCCAUGGGAGGUUGGAAAUUGUUUUUUUUUUUUCUUUUAAGAGAAAGGUAGCAAGCUACUGCGUGUAUUCAAUUUUAUUUAAAAAAAUGAACUGUAGCAAAAAUGUGAAGCUAAAAAUAGACUUAGCUUGAUAGAACUAAUACAUAUUUUACUGAAGCUUGCAGUGUUGGGUAGAAUAAAAAGAAUAGCUUCAAAUUAUGGUGCUGCUAUCCUCGAAAUAAAAGUUAACAAAGUAACAUAGAAUUGUUUAGCAAUUGCCUUGAAGAAAUAAGUAAAAGAGAGAAAAAUGAUCGUGCGUACUUGGGGAGUUCUUAUCCGCAACGCAGAAGUCUUGGAGGGGGCUAGGAUCAGACGCAAUGGCUCGCGAAGAAACGGAGGGCAAGGAGAGUAAGGGCAAGAAUGUAGGGAGCCAUCUCUCUAUCUCUAACCCUAUAUCUCUAUUCCGUAGGAUGCGUGGUGCGUAUAACUGAGAUAGAAGGACGAUGGCUAUAUAUAGGGAUGAAGCAUUGGAACAGUCAUUCUUGCAGGAAAAGAGAACGAGGACUAGUUAAACAUGUUACUAGAACAAGCUAAAAAGCUAGCAUUAUCUCAUGCUGUCUUGGGUGUUUUAGUUCAAGUCAUAUUAUUAAAGGUUUAUACAGUAUAGUGAAAUGGUAAGAAAGAAACACGUUUUAGUCGUGACUCAGACAGAGGAACACUAAUAAGAAAAUAAAACUGAAGGCCCAAUCUCAGUUGUUUACCAUUCUGAACAGAAAGAGAAAAAAUAAUAAUAGCACGAAGCAGCAUUACAAAUUUUUGAAUAAUAAUGUAAUGAAAUGGAGGACGAACGAUGAAGUUGAACUUCGAGUUUUCCAUCUUAAUUUUGUUAGCCUGUAGAUUUUGUGUGCACGUGGUAAUAAGGAAGAAGAUUCAAAGUUUGGACUAGGUGUUUUGAGUUGUUAAAAUUUAUGAAGUCGGAGCAGUUAAGAUUGUUGAAAUUAUACCUGGAGGUCAAUUUUUUGAUAUGACUUGAUAACCGAUAUGAGGACUUGACUGGGUAAUAUUGUUUAGUGGAGUCUAGAGAUCCUAGUAAGAAAAGAUGAGAGAGAGAUUUCCAGGGAAAAAAAAGGAGCUUAAAUUAAUACUUCGGUGGUGCUUAGAGAAAUCUGACGAUCUGCUUUGAUGCAUAAACACCAAUGUUUUCGAACUAGCCGUCGAACCGGAAACCGGUGCGAGAAUUCAAAAUUAAAACCUGCAUCAAACGAUUCGAAUAUAAUCAUUAGCCUGCCAACAAAAAUAGAGCCAUUUUGAUUAAUAUUAUAUUAGAAAAAGAAUUUCAAUUUUGUUUUGAUCUGUAACAUUAUUGAUUCUUUUUAUUAAUAUUAGAAAAGAACUUUGAAUUUUUUGUUUCGGUUCUGAACAUUAUUGUUCUUUACUCUCUUACAAUUGUAGAACCAAAUAGAGCAAUUCUUAUUCACCAUUGUAUUUAAUUAAUAUUUUAAAAUUUUGGAUGCCACGCUAUCGCCGAAUGGUUCAACAGUGAUCAAACCACUAACCUUUUUUUUUUUUGAGAGAGAUAGGUAGCAUCUACCUGUUUCAUUCAUUUAUUUAGAAAUAACUUAGCUAGAAAUGUGAAUCAACUAGGAUUCAAACUUGGAACCUCGGGUACCUACCACAAGCCUCUUGCCACUUCGCUAGGACGGUCGGUAUCAAACACUAUCAUUGAGUAGGAAAUAUUUUUGGGUUUAUUACACUCCCCGUUUCUUAAAACAUCGAAAAAAUCCAGUUUAGCAUAUCUCUUCUGUCUCGCAAGGGGCCAUGAUUUAACAUCCAUGAUUAUGACGAUGAUCUUACGACGGAUAAAAUAAAAAUCCUUGAAGAAGAAGAAGAAAAGAUUCUUCAUACCACACAAGUUCAGAACUUACAGAAUCAAUAUGAUUAAAAAGUUUUGUGGCAUUUAGAGGAGAUGAAAAUAUCAUAGAGAUAUUGAAAGGAGAGAUUACAAAAACACCCUCAAAAUUCACCCAAAUUGCUUUUCAGUUCAUAUAUUAAGCCUGCAAAUAGCUAGGAGUGGUUACUAUUAGGCAAAUAAAUUCAAAAUUUCCAUUCCUAACCAGUGUAAAGGAAAGGAUAUUCUAAAGCACAUAUACGGUACAUCAAAACAAGAGAUUUCCAACACGCGAUAGUUUAUUUAUGGAUGUUGUCUAAUCUCUUUGACUAUUCAGAUUUAGUUUUUUGAAUUCUUAUUUAUGUAGACUUAGUCCUCAUCUUAUCUAGAAUAGGGUGUACAAGUAGCAUUUUUCAAGUAUGAUGAUCUCAUUGCUGUUUCAUUUUCCCUGUUAGCUUUAAUGGUAUGUGUUGUUAUGUUUCGUUAUGUUUCAUUAUGUCAAGCUUCAUGUGCUGAUAAAGGUGACAGAUUGUCGAAUCAAAAUGAACUCAAGAGAUUGAGAAAAAUCAGAGUGAGAAGGAUACAGAUCUGUCAAGUAAUUCAAAGAAUCUUUAUAAUUAAGUUCAAAUUACUAGUAAUCAUAAUUAAUUCUAAAAGGAAAAGAAAGAGGAGUACGGAGUACUCAUUAAACAUGAUAUAAUACUUAAACUCUAAAAAUAACCAAAAGAAGAAUGGGAAGCCGAAACUGAUAUAAAGGUUAAUAGAGCUGAUAUCAUUUCCAUUACGCGCAAAGUAAAGAAUACCAUUUGACACUCAGAUAACAAAUCCGGAACGGUACUGCAUAACUUGUAAUUUGCUAUCAAAAAUUACAACAAGAAUGUACAGAUAUAGUAAAUCAUGAAAAUAUCAAGAUACCACAUUCUUUCUUGAGACAUCUGUUGAUGCAGAUCGGGUGCGGAUAGGAUUGAUUUGUUUAGGUUUUAAUUUUUCUAAUUUCGGAAUUAUUUUACUUGUUAAUUUGUUUUAGUUGUUUUUUGUAAGAUUUUAGGAUUUAUCAUAAGAGAAUAAAUCCUAAAAUUGGAAAUAUGCCGUUUAGAUUUUUUUAGAUAUACUCGAAUUAGGAAAUAUUCCUAAAAUCUUGGGAUUUGAAUUAGAUUAGGAUUACGGUUGGAUGGUUAUAAUAUAGUACUUAUAAUUUGUAAUUUGGGACGAGUUAUGAUGGAUAUAAAAUUUGGGUUUGUGUUUUUACUGCGGUCAUAGUAUCUUUUUCCCUUCUCUUUCCGCAUGGUGCGCCUGGUAAAAUUUUUUUCCUCAGAGGUUCUAUCUUCUUUUUUUCUCUUCUUCAUCUUUUCUCAUUUCCUCUAUUUUUUCUUAUCCUUCUUGUAAAUUUGCUUUCUCUAUAUAUUAGCUACUUUUAAAAAAAUUACAAAAUAAAAAAAAUCAUCAGAACCUUCUUGCUAGAGUCGUACUACUUUUUUGAUUUUUUCUUUUUUUUUAAUUACAAAUUUAAUUUAAAAUUCAUUAAAAUCUUUUAAAAAAAUCUGAAAAUUUAUCUAAAUUUUUUUAGAAAAUUCUAAUUUUGCGUUUUAAUUGAUUUUGGGCUCAUCACUUGCAAGAUAAGUUAGGGGUUUUCUGAAUUUGUCCUGCAUCAUCUGUAUUUUCUCAUAAUAUGAGCAACACUUUUCCAGUCGGAUGUAGAUGACAUGAAUUAGCGACGUGCUUAACGUCACGUUCAUCCGACUUAAACACCGUUUAUAUAAGCAUAGCGAAGACACCACUAGGGAAAUCAAAUGCUAUUACCUGUAUCCAAACUGAAAUGCCAGUAAGAAGGGUUCAGUGCUACAGAAUGAAAGUUCUAGAGAUCUUCAUGCGAGUAAGAUGAAUAAAGUUUCGAGUUCUUUAAGUUACAAUUGAAUAACAAACCUGUGAAGAUUUUUCUGGAAGUUGCCAAGUGUUCCAUUUAUCUGACAGUAACUGACGGUAAAUCUGUCGAACUGACUCAAGACAAUACACAAGAAGCAAUCACAGGAAAUUAUGUGGAGUCUAGAGCAGUUCUUUGCUCCAAAAACUUUGCAGCUCUGCAUUUGCACAGGCAAAUUGGAAGUGGGAACUACUGCUGCUGUGAAAUCUAAAAUGAUCAUUUGGACCACAAAAAGAUAAGCCCCAACAUGAAGGUGCUUCUUCUACUAUAAUGGGAAACUGGUCGGAGAAGAGCAUCAGUGAAAAGGCAUUAGUGCUUUUUUAAACAGCUUAGUGAACAACACUUUGCGAAGGUCCUGCUAGGACAAAUGGGACCACAAGUGAAUCUUCUAAAACAUGCAUGUAAGAAUCUUCUUCCAGUGCCCAUUCGAGGAAUGAAUCCGUGUUCCACCAUUUGCUUUAGUACAGAAUAAGCAUCAUCCAAACUGUUUUCACUACAUAGGCCCUCAAUAAUCAGUUUGUAUGAUGAAAACUUGGGUUUGCUUCCUUUGAGAGUCAUAAAAUUCCAUAAAAGUCUUAGCUUCACAAACUUUUUUUGCAAGAAACCACAAAGAAGUGCUUCAUAAGUUCCUGAAUUAGGGUAACACCCCUUCAGUUCAUUUCCUUUAGCAGAUUCAUCCCUCAUCACCCUUCCCUGCUGCACAAGGCCACUAAUCAAUACAUUAAAUGUUACUGUAUCAAGAUCAAUACUUCAUUUCCAUUCUCUUAUAUACCUCAAAUGCUUCAUCUAAUCUCAAUUUUUACAAAGAGAAUGCAUAAGCUCGAAUAAGUGGAGCAUUGGUUCCAAUCCUAUGCUUUUGGUAGUUCAGGUAAUAAGGCCAAACGCCGGUCUAGCCUAUUAGUUGACAUAAGCCCUUUAUAAGAAUAUUAAAGCAACAGGUAUCAACAGUUAUGCCCAAUUUGGACGCACUCAUGUAUAUCUCAUGAACAAUCUCGUACUGUCGAGUACACACAAGCAUGUUUAAAACAUAAUUGAAAGUCUUAACCGAAGGCCAACAAUGAAAACUGGGCAUAUUGCGGAGUGUCUCGAUGGCUUUUUCGGGAUGGUUCGCAACAUUUCCAUACAUUUUGAUCAGUCUAUAAAAGAAUUCAUCAGAAAGUCGGCAAUUCUCAUUCUUGGCCCUCUUCAACAGAUCCUCCACCUCGUUGAAUCUACGUGCAUAGGCUAGUUUGUCGAUUAUUAAACUAUAGAGAGCUUCACUGGGUUUGUAGUCCAUACGAGUCGUGACCUUCUCGAACGCACCUGUAAGUAAAUCAGGAUGUCUGAUAUUUGUAAAUAUUUUCAGUACCUCAUUCGGCGCUAGCCAAUCCUUGUGAUCUAAUCUCCUCAACCAGUAACUGUCAUCAACUGGACCAUACUUAAUUUUUGAUAAAGAGGAUAUGAAAUGCUUUGAAAUGCCAGAAUUUCUUAGAUCAACACUGUGAAAAUAAUACAUAGCUUGCGGAACCAAUUUAUUCAUAACUGCAAAAGAUCCUAUCAACCCUGCACCAGAAAAAUAUCAUCAUAUAUAAACAAUCGGUGUUUUAUAAUAACCUUUUAGAGGAGCUAAAUCAUGUUAUUCACGGAAGCCCGAGUAAAUUAGUUAAGAAAAAAAAAAACAACUAAGAAAAGGGGAGGUUUAAAAAAUAAAAAAACACUAAUUACUUCACCUCUAGGAAAAAGGAAAAUGUUACUUUAUUCUAUGUUUUAUUCUAAUGCAUAAUAAUUAUAGAGGAAAUCCAUCCAUCUUUUAUAUUUUUUUAAUAUCAAUCCCUGUACAAAACUAUGAAGUCAAAUAACUCUCCCCAUUCUCCCAAUUUUCGUAUACCAAAUUAAAAACAUUUUAACUUGGAAAAAAAAAAAAAAAGAUAACAACUUUAUGAUUGGAGACAUGAUGAAGUGCGAAACUACAACUAAAAAGAUGCGAUUUUUCCACUUGAUUUCGUUUCCUUCUUUCAAUUAACAGCUAUGUUCUUCUUCAUUGGAGUAAUCUAGGGUUCCAGGUCGAUCAACUUGGGAGUUUCGCCAAUUACGCCCACAAAAAUGCGAUUUUUUGAAUCGAUUUUGCGAUUCUCCGACUCGAUUCACAAGAGGGAGGGGAAAAGGGAUUACGCACCGC